AUACGGAGGGUGCAAGCGUUAUUCGGAAUCACUGGGCGUAAAGGACACGUAGGCGGGAAGCCAAGUCUGAUGUGAAAUCCUAUGGCUCAACCAUAGAACUGCAUUGGAAACUGGUUACCUAGAGUAUGGGAGGGGGAGAUGGAAUUAGUGGUGUAGGGGUAAAAUCCGUAGAUAUCACUAGGAAUACCUAAAGCGAAGGCGAUCUCCUGGAACAUUACUGACGCUAAGGUGUGAAAGCGUGGGGAGCAAACGGGAUUAGAAACCCUAGUAGUCC
rnacentral:rRNA from 1 species